rnacentral:rRNA from 1 species
UAGGGAAUCUUCGGCAAUGGACGGAAGUCUGACCGAGCAACGCCGCGUGAGUGAAGAAGGUUUUCGGAUCGUAAAGCUCUGUUGUAAGAGAAGAACGAGUGUGAGAGUGGAAAGUUCACACUGUGACGGUAUCUUACCAGAAAGGGACGGCUAACUACAUGCCAGCAGCCGCGGUAAUACGUAGGUCCCGAGCGUUGUCCGGAUUUAUUGGGCGUAAAGCGAGCGCAGGCGGUUAGAUAAGUCUGAAGUUAAAGGCUGUGGCUUAACCAUAGUAGGCUUUGGAAACUGUUUAACUUGAGUGCAAGAGGGGAGAGUGGAAUUCCAUGUGUAGCGGUGAAAUGCGUAGAUAUAUGGAGGAACACCGGUGGCGAAAGCGGCUCUCUGGCUUGUAACUGACGCUGAGGCUCGAAAGCGUGGGGAGCAAACAGGAUUAGAUACCCUGGUAGUCCACGCUGUAAACGAUGAGUGCUAGGUGUUAGACCCUUUCCGGGGUUUAGUGCCGUAGCUAACGCAUUAAGUACUCCGCCUGGGGAGUACGACCGCAAGGUU